rnacentral:lncRNA from 1 species
CAUUGGUCGGCCUAUCCCCAGGGGCCGUGGCUGGGCGUGUGUGGGAGUGCUGGCACUGGCACCGUGGGUCGCAGCCACCCCCUUCCCCCUCCCCGUUGUCCCCAGGAGCUGGCUGAUGGAGCACAUGGAGAUGCUGAAGCAGAAGUUCCGCGGUGCCGAGACGUUCCCCAAGGAGCCGGUGACCCGAGCGGGCGGGACGCCCUGCUGCUUUGCUCCCUGUCGCCCGCAGCCACGGCACCUGCGCUGCCUCCCCGCUGCAGCCCAGCUCUGUCGCUGCCCCCCCUCCCCGGUGCAGUAUCCCCCAGUGACUGUGUGGGGUUUGGCACCUGUAGCCGUCCGGACCCCUCGGAGUGCGUGUGAGAGCAUGCCGGCGUGCGUGUGUUGUGGGUGUGCAAGCACACACCUGUGUGUGCCUGUGAGCGUGCAGGCCUCCACGUGUGGGGCCAUGUGAGGGUGUGCACGUGAGUGUGCAGGCGUGCGUGAGUGCACAGGAGCGUGCAGGAGUGCACACGUAUGUGCAUGGGUGUGCAGAUGAACUGCAGAUGUGCAUGUGCAAGUGAGCCUGCAGGCACGCACAUACGUGUGCAUGCAUGUGAGUGCAUGUGCACGAGCAUGCUGGCAUCCGCGCGUGGCUGCGCACGUGAGCACACGGGUGUCCAUGUGGCUGCACCCGUGAGCGUGCAGGCCUCCACGUGAGCGUGCAGGCCCGUGCUUGCCUGGGAGCGUGUUGACACCCCUGGCAAUGUGGUGGUGGCCGAUUCCUGCUCGCAAACAUUGCGACAGCUGCGGCCCCGCACCCGGCCCGGGGGCAAACAGACCUUUGGCUCCAGCGCUGUGGGGAGAGAGGCAGCGCUGGGGGGGGGACAGCGUCCACCUGGAUCAGGGUGGCGGGGGACCCCUGCUCCCCCUGGGGGCCCCAGACAUGCACCAUGUGCUCAUGGGUGUGUGCGCUUGUGCAGGGGGCCGUGUGGGCAGGUGCUUUUGGGUGCCUGUGCACCGGGGCCAUGUGAAUGGGUGCUUGCAGAGUUGCAGCAAGCGUGCGCCGGGCGCGCCUUGCAAGCAGGGUUGGUCAGGCUGUGUGCACGCGCAUGGAUGUGCAGGUGUGUGCGUGCAUACGCGUGUGCAGCUGCCCCUUGGCCGCGCACCCGGGCUCCACUCGGCUCCUGGGGCUGCAGCGUCCCGCUGCCUCAGUCCGGCUGCCGGGGUUCAGGUGCUGGGUGUAGGCGCUGCGUUAGGGUACCACGUCUGGGUGACGGGGCUGGGUGAUGUGUCUGUGUGCCGUCCCCGUGUGCCCCCGGGGGCGGGAGCUGCGGCGCCGAGGGCGCUCGGUGCGGUCAGGGCGGUCAGGGCCGCGGCAGCUCGGCUCUGUUUGCCUGGACUUCGCCCGGGUGCGGGGGCCACGCAGCCGCGCCGCCCCAGGAUCCGGCCCCAUAAAGCGGCAGUCCAGCCGGGCGCGAGGGAGCCGCCGGCACCAGUGUUCUCUGCGUCCCAGCUGUGA